rnacentral:rRNA from 1 species
AUUGAACGCUGGCGGCAGGCCUAACACAUGCAAGUCGAACGAGUGGCGGACGGGUGAGUAAUGUCUGGGAAACUGCCCGCUGGCGGGGGAUAACUACUGGAAACGGUAGCUAAUACCGCAUACCAUCGGAUGUGCCGAGAUGGGAUUAGCUAGUAGGUGGGGUAAAGGCUCACCAAGGCGACGAUCCCUAGCUGGUCUGAGAGGAUGACCAGCCACACUGGAACUGAGACACGGUCUAGACUCCUACGGGAGGCAGCGGUGGGGAAUAUUGGACAAUGGGCGCAAUCCUGAUGCAGCCAUGCCGCGGGUAUGAAGAAGGCCUUCGGGUGGUAAAGUACUUUGAGCGGGGAGGCGGUACUCGCAGAAGAAGCACCGGCUAACUCCGUGCCAGCCGCCGCGGUAAUAC